rnacentral:rRNA from 1 species
AUUGAACGCUGGCGGCAGGCCUAACACAUGCAAGUCGAACGAGGGGCGGAUGGGUGAGGUAUGUCUGGGUAACCGCUCGAUGGAGGGGGAUAACUAAUGCACACGGUAGCAAACAACGUAAACUAGUGGACGCGCCUAGAUGGGACUAGCUAGUAGGUGGGGUAAUGGCUCACCUAGGCGACGAUCCCUAGCUGGUCUGAGAGGAUGACCAGCCACACUGGGACUGAGACACGGUCCAGACUCCUACGGGAGGCAGCAGUGGGGAAUAUUGCACAAUGGGCGCAAGCCUGAUGCAGCCAUGCCGCGUGUAUGAAGAAGGCCUUAGGGUUGUAAAGUACUUUCAGCCGGGAGGCGUUACUCACAGAAGAAGCACCGGCUAACUCCGUGCCAGCAGCCGCGGUAAUAC